GAAUAUUCUAAUAUUGUACAGUUAUUAAGUGAAGAUGAUCCAAAUACUUCAGUUCAUAAUAAGGAGUUAUAUGAAGCUGCUAAAAGAGGUGAUUCUACUGGUGUCCAGUCUGCACUGUCUCAAGGGGCUAAUGUAAACUAUCAGAAUCCUGAAAAGUAUGGAACUACUUCUCUUCAUGUUGCUGCAA